UUUUUUUUCCUUCUCUUUUUUAAAUCUGUAAAUCAACCAGCUAAAAUCUCAGAUUCUCAAUAUUGAUAAACAUAUAAAGAAUAAUUGGUUGAACUUAAUACAUUUUGAAAAAGAAAUAUUAAAGAUAACACUGCUAAAGAAAAUGUCAAUGUUGCUUUCUCUAAAUGACAUUCACAUUCCUCACUCCUCACUGCAUUUGCUCGGUAAAAUAAGCUCCAAAACAUGCUUGCAAUCCCAUCUUCUCAGUCCAAGAAUGGCAUGACAUCCUGUGCAGAAAGAUUCAUAAAUUUGUCAUUAUAUAUGGUAGAACUGAAACUAUAAAACUAAUAAAAGUGUAUGUCUUGUGGCAGAGCAAAGCUAGUGUUAGUAUACACUAGUAACACUGUAUAUUUGUUACAAUAUUACAAACUAAAAUAAUAUUAAAUUCUUUCAUUCAAUUUCCAAUUAUCUGCUAAUGCUCUGCUCGUGCAGACCCUUUCAUUCAACUUCCAAUUGCUUCACAAAUUAUAAGAUAAUCUGAUGUCAUAUAUAUAGUGCAACAUAUAAGACUUAACAAAUUAUAACUCAUGAUGGAUUUCAAGCAUAAUGAGAUGAUGCACUUCACAGAAAUUAGACCAUUUCUAACCCAAAUCAGUGAAAGCCCCAAUCAAACAAAAUAUAAAAGGGUACAAAAUAUCUCAUGAAGCUAUUUGUGGUUCGAUGAUAAAACGGGAGACAAGAAAAGGUCACCAUCAAAACCAAAAUCCCAUUUUGUUCAUUAUCCAUUUUUCCUUUUUCCUUCAUCAACAUAAAGAGCUUCAUAAAGCUACUUCAUAUAUCAAAAACAAGAAAUCCAUGUUUCACAAAAAUCCCAAAAAGGAGCAAAUUGUUCAACUCCAAAUUUCUAUAAAUUAACAAAAUUACAUAAAUAAAAAUAAGGGUGUGGCUCUGACCGAAAUUUAAAAAAUAGGCAGUCUUUCAAUUUCAAAGCUAGAAAACCUGAAACUCAAGAAGAUCAGAAAUGUCUGGACACGGAUAUAUUUUUUUUUAUAUAUAUAUAUAUAUAUAUACAUAUAUAUAUAUAUAUAUAUAUAUAUAUAUAUAUAAAUGUAUUUAGUUAUUAUGUAAGUAGAAUCAGUCUUUCUCUACCUUGAGGAUGAUUUAACGGAAAACAACAAAAAAUUACCUAGAUUCCAGAGAGAAAUUGGUCUCACAGAAUGAAGAUUGGGAUUUGGGACGAAGAGAAGAACCUAUCCAGUCGGCGUCGUCGAUCGAUCGAACUUCGAAGUGUGGAAGACUAGAGUGAAGACUGAAGAGUCUGGAGGUGGGGGUCGUGGACUCGUGGGGCUGUAUACCUGUAUCUCUCAAAAUCACUCUCAGAUCUAGAUCGAGCAAGAGCCUUAGCCGUUAGCCAGUUAGCCCUUGCGGCCUUGCCCCUUAGGGAGAGAUAGGAGAUUAGCUAUCAGAUAUCAGUAUUAGUGUAUUAUUUGUAAGCAGAUAGAGAUAGA
rnacentral:lncRNA from 1 species